rnacentral:rRNA from 1 species
ACUUAAAUUGAAGAGUUUGAUCAUGGCUCAGAUUGAACGCUGGCGGCAGGCCUAACACAUGCAAGUCGAGCGGCAGCGGAAAGUAGCUUGCUACUUUGCCGGCGAGCGGCGGACGGGUGAGUAAUGUCUGGGAAACUGCCUGAUGGAGGGGGAUAACUACUGGAAACGGUAGCUAAUACCGCAUAACGUCGCAAGACCAAAGAGGGGGACCUUCGGGCCUCUUGCCAUCAGAUGUGCCCAGAUGGGAUUAGCUAGUAGGUGGGGUAACGGCUCACCUAGGCGACGAUCCCUAGCUGGUCUGAGAGGAUGACCAGCCACACUGGAACUGAGACACGGUCCAGACUCCUACGGGAGGCAGCAGUGGGGAAUAUUGCACAAUGGGCGCAAGCCUGAUGCAGCCAUGCCGCGUGUAUGAAGAAGGCCUUCGGGUUGUAAAGUACUUUCAGCGGGGAGGAAGGUGUUGUGGUUAAUAACCACAGCAAUUGACGUUACCCGCAGAAGAAGCACCGGCUAACUCCGUGCCAGCAGCCGCGGUAAUACGGAGGGUGCAAGCGUUAAUCGGAAUUACUGGGCGUAAAGCGCACGCAGGCGGUCUGUCAAGUCGGAUGUGAAAUCCCCGGGCUCAACCUGGGAACUGCAUUCGAAACUGGCAGGCUAGAGUCUUGUAGAGGGGGGUAGAAUUCCAGGUGUAGCGGUGAAAUGCGUAGAGAUCUGGAGGAAUACCGGUGGCGAAGGCGGCCCCCUGGACAAAGACUGACGCUCAGGUGCGAAAGCGUGGGGAGCAAACAGGAUUAGAUACCCUGGUAGUCCACGCCGUAAACGAUGUCGACUUGGAGGUUGUGCCCUUGAGGCGUGGCUUCCGGAGCUAACGCGUUAAGUCGACCGCCUGGGGAGUACGGCCGCAAGGUUAAAACUCAAAUGAAUUGACGGGGGCCCGCACAAGCGGUGGAGCAUGUGGUUUAAUUCGAUGCAACGCGAAGAACCUUACCUACUCUUGACAUCCAGAGAACUUUCCAGAGAUGGAUUGGUGCCUUCGGGAACUCUGAGACAGGUGCUGCAUGGCUGUCGUCAGCUCGUGUUGUGAAAUGUUGGGUUAAGUCCCGCAACGAGCGCAACCCUUAUCCUUUGUUGCCAGCGGU